AAACCAACAGGGAUUGCCCUAGUAACGGCGAGUGAAGCGGCAACAGCUCAAAUUUGAAAUCUGGCUCCUUUGGGGGUCCGAGUUGUAAUUUGUAGAGGGUGCUUUGGUAUUAGCUGUGGUCUAAGACCCUUGGAACAGGGCGUCACAGAGGGUGAGAAUCCCGUAUGUGGCCAGCAGCUCUUGCCUUGUAAAGCCCCUUCGACGAGUCGAGUUGUUUGGGAAUGCAGCUCUAAAUGGGAGGUAAAUUUCUUCUAAAGCUAAAUACUGGCCAGAGACCGAUAGCGCACAAGUAGAGUGAUCGAAAGAUGAAAAGCACUUUGGAAAGAGAGUCAAAAAGCACGUGAAAUUGUUGAAAGGGAAGCGCUUGCAGCCAGACUUGCCCGUAGUUGUUCAUCUAGGCUUUUGCCUGGUGCACUCUUCUGCGGGCAGGCCAGCAUCAGUCCAGGCGGUCGGAUAAAGGCCUUGGGAAUGUGGCUCCUUCGGGGAGUGUUAUAGCCCAGGGUGCCAUGCGGCCAGCCUGAACUGAGGUCCGCGCUUCUGCUAGGAUGCUGGCGUAAUGGCUGUAAGCGGCCCGUCUUGAAACACGGACCAAGGAGUCUAACAUCUAUGCGAGUGUUUGGGUGUCAAGCCCGAGCGCGCAAUGAAAGUGAACGGAGGUGGGAACCCCUCGGGGUGCACCAUCGACCGAUCCUGAUGUCUUCGGAUGGAUUUGAGUAAGAGCAUAGCUGUUGGGACCCGAAAGAUGGUGAACUAUGCCUGAAUAGGGUGAAGCCAGAGGAAACUCUGGUGGAGGCUCGCAGCGGUUCUGACGUGCAAAUCGAUCGUCAAAUUUGGGCAUAGGGGCGAAAGACUA
rnacentral:rRNA from 2 species